CCUACGGGGGGCAGCAGUGGGGAAUAUUGGGCAAUGGACGCAAGUCUGACCCAGCAACGCCGCGUGAAGGAAGAAGGCUUUCGGGUUGUAAACUUCUUUUAAGGGGGAAGAGCAGAAGACGGUACCCCUUGAAUAAGCCACGGCUAACUACGUGCCAGCAGCCGCGGUAAUGCGUAGGUGGCAAGCGUUGUGCGGAUUUACUGGGUGUAAAGGGCGUGCAGCCGGAGGGACAAGUCAGAUGUGAAAGCCACGGGCUCAACCCGUGAACUGCAUUUGAAACUGUUUCCCUUGAGUGUCGGAGAGGUAAUCGGAAUUCCUUGUGUAGCGGUGAAAUGCGUAGAUAUAAGGAAGAACACCAGUGGCGAAGGCGGAUUACUGGACGAUAACUGACGGUGAGGCGCGAAAGCGUGGGGAGCAAACAGGAUUAGAUACCCCAGUAGUC
rnacentral:rRNA from 1 species